rnacentral:tRNA from 1 species
GGCUAUGGCUCAGUGGCAGAUCACCUACUUUGAAUGCUGAAGGUUCUAGGUUCAAUUCCUGGCAUCUCCA